UGCAAGUCGAACGAUGAUCCCCAGCUUGCUGGGGGGAUUAGUGGCGAACGGGUGAGUAACACGUGAGUAACCUGCCCUUGACUCUGGGAUAAGCCUGGGAAACUGGGUCUAAUACUGGAUACGACCUUCCCACGCAUGUGGUGUUGGUGGAAAGCUUUUGUGGUUUUGGAUGGACUCGCGGCCUAUCAGCUUGUUGGUGGGGUAAUGGCCUACCAAGGCGACGACGGGUAGCCGGCCUGAGAGGGUGGACGGCCACACUGGGACUGAGACACGGCCCAGACUCCUACGGGAGGCAGCAGUGGGGAAUAUUGCACAAUGGGCGCAAGCCUGAUGCAGCGACGCCGCGUGAGGGAUGAAGGCCUUCGGGUUGUAAACCUCUUUCAGUAGGGAAGAAGCGAAAGUGACGGUACCUGCAGAAGAAGCGCCGGCUAACUACGUGCCAGCAGCCGCGGUAAUACGUAGGGCGCAAGCGUUAUCCGGAAUUAUUGGGCGUAAAGAGCUCGUAGGCGGUUUGUCGCGUCUGCCGUGAAAGUCCGGGGCUUAACUCCGGAUCUGCGGUGGGUACGGGCAGACUUGAGUGAUGUAGGGGAGACUGGAAUUCCUGGUGUAGCGGUGAAAUGCGCAGAUAUCAGGAGGAACACCGAUGGCGAAGGCAGGUCUCUGGGCAUUAACUGACGCUGANGAGCGAAAGCAUGGGGAGCGAACAGGAUUANAUACCCUGGNANUCCAUGCCGUAAACGUUGGGCACUNNNGUGGGGGACAUUCCACGUUUUCCGCGCCGUANCUAACGCAUUAAGNGCCCCGCCUGGGGAGUACGG
rnacentral:rRNA from 1 species